UACGUAGGGGGCGAGCGUUGUCCGGAAUCAUUGGGCGUAAAGCGCGUGUAGGCGGCUCGGUAAGUCCGGUGUGAAACCUUGGGGCUCAACCCCAAGCCUGCACUGGAUACUGUCGAGCUUGAGUCCGGGAGGGGAGAGCGGAAUUCCUAGUAUAGCGGUGAAAUGCGCAGAUAUUAGGAAGAACACCGGUGGCGAAGGCGGCUCUCUGGAACGGUACUGACGCUGAGACGCGAAAGCGUGGGGAGCGAACAGG
rnacentral:rRNA from 1 species